rnacentral:rRNA from 1 species
GACGAACGCUGGCGGCGUGCCUAAUACAUGCAAGUAGAGCGAACAGAUUAGGAGGUUGUUCCUCUGACGUUAGCGGCUGACGGAUGAGUAAUCUGUGGUUACCAGUCAUAUGAGACUGGGAUACCUUCUGGAAAUCGGGGUUAAUACCGGUCUAUCACUUGAAACGUAUGGUUAGUCAGUGAAAGAGCGUUUUGAUGUUACUCAUCGCUGGCACCGCGCCGCUUUAGCUAGUUGGUAAGGUAACGCCUUACCAAGGCAACGAUGCGUAGCCGACCGGUGAAGGAGAGUGGCUACACUGGAACUGAGACACUGUCAAGACUCCUACGGGAGGCAGCAGUAGGGAAAGUGCCGCAAUGGGGGAAAGCCUAACGUAGCAACACCGCGUGAGAGAUGAAGGUCGUCGGAUCGUAAAACUCUCUUAUUAGGGAAGAACAAAAGUAUAAGUAACCAAGCACGUCUUGACGGUACCUAAUCAGAAAGCCACGGCUAACUCCGUG